GGAGGUGAGGGCAAUAUAGCUGUGACAUCUGUCACCCCAUUGAUCGCCAGGGUUGAUUCAGCUGAUCUGGCUGCCCAGGCAGGUGUCCCCUUCCUCCCUCACCACUCCAUGUAUGUGCCUCCUGAAGCAGCAUGCCCGGUGGAAGAGGAUGACCUUCCCCCAUAGAGAAGGACCAUUCUUUGGUUAAGGGUACACGAGUAGCUACACUUCCCUGCUAGAACCUCCAAACAUACUCUCAAAGAAGGAAAGUCUGUUGUAUCUCAUGUCAUGUAAGUGGUUUUGGAUUAUCCACAUGAUUAACUCCAUGAGCC
rnacentral:snRNA from 1 species